AACGAACGCUGGCGGCAGGCCUAACACAUGCAAGUCGAACGGACCCUUCGGGGUUAGUGGCGCACGGGUGCGGAACACGUGGGAAUGUACCCCUGGGUAAGGAAUAAUGUCUGGAAACGGGCACUAAUACCUUAUAAUGACUUCGGUCCAAAGAUUUAUCGCCCAGGGAUCAGCCCGCGUCUGAUUAGAUAGUUGGUAGGGUAAUGGCCUACCAAGUCUACGAUCAGUAGCUGGUCUGAGAGGAUGAUCAGCCACACUGGUACUGAGACACGGACCAGACUCCUACGGGAGGCAGCAGUGAGGAAUAUUGCGCAAUGGAGGAAACUCUGACGCAGCCAUGCCGCGUGAGUGAAGAAGGCCUUAGGGUUGUAAAGCUCUUUCAAUAGUGAAGAUUAUGACGGUAGCUAUAGAAGAAGCCCCGGCUAAAUUCG
rnacentral:rRNA from 1 species